rnacentral:ncRNA from 1 species
AUUAAGCCAUGCAUGUGAAAGUAUGAACUAAUUCAGAAUGUGAAACAGCGAAUGGCUCAUUAAAUCAGUUAUAGUUUGUUUGAUGGUAUCUGCUACUCGAAUAACCGUAGUAAUUCUAGAGCUAAUACGUGCAACCAACCCCGACUUCUGGAAGGGAUGCAUUUAUUAGAUAAAAGGUCGAAACGGGCUCUGCCGUUGUUUCGAUGAUUCAUGAUAACUCGACGGAUUGCACGGCAAUAAUGACGACGACACAUCAUUCAAAUUUCUGCCCUAUCAACUUUCGAUGGUAGGAUAGUGGCCUACCAUAGUGGUGACAGGUGACGGAGAAUUUGGGUUCUAUUCCGAAGAGGGACCUGAGAAACGGCUACGACAUCCAAGGAGGGAAAUGCAAGUG